rnacentral:rRNA from 1 species
AUUGAACGCUGGCGGCAGGCCUAACACAUGCAAGUCGAGCGGGAACUUCGGUUCUAGCGGCGGACGGGUGAGUAAUGCGUAGGAAGCUACCCGACAGAGGGGGAUACCAGUUGGAAACGACUGUUAAUACCGCAUAAUGUCUACGGACCAAAGUGUGGGACCUUCGGGCCACAUGCUGUCGGAUGCGCCUACGUGGGAUUAGCUAGUUGGUGAGGUAAUGGCUCACCAAGGCGACGAUCCCUAGCUGGUUUGAGAGGAUGAUCAGCCACACUGGAACUGAGACACGGUCCAGACUCCUACGGGAGGCAGCAGUGGGGAAUAUUGGACAAUGGGCGCAAGCCUGAUCCAGCCAUGCCGCGUGUGUGAAGAAAGCCUUCGGGUUGUAAAGCACUUUCAGUAGGGAGGAAGGGGUUGUAGUUAAUAGCUGCAACUUUUGACGUUACCUACAGAAGAAGCACCGGCUAACUCUGUGCCAGCAGCCGCAGUAAUAC